GAUGAACGCUGGCGGCGUGCCUAAUACAUGCAAGUCGAGCGAACGGACGAGAAGCUUGCUUCUCUGAUGUUAGCGGCGGACGGGUGAGUAACACGUGGAUAACCUACCUAUAAGACUGGGAUAACUUCGGGAAACCGGAGCUAAUACCGGAUAAUAUUUUGAACCGCAUGGUUCAAAAGUGAAAGACGGUCUUGCUGUCACUUAUAGAUGGAUCCGCGCUGCAUUAGCUAGUUGGUAAGGUAACGGCUUACCAAGGCAACGAUGCAUAGCCGACCUGAGAGGGGGGGCGCCAACAGGGGAACGAAGACACGGACCAGACGCCUGGGGGAGGAAGAAGGGGGGAUUCUUCGGAAAGGGGGGAAAGCCGGACGGAGCACGGCGGAGGGAGGGAGAAAGGUUUUCGGAUCGAAAAACUUUGUUAUGGGGGAAAAACAUAUGUGUAAGUACUUGGGCACAUCUGGAGGGGCCAUAAUAAGAAAGCCACGGCAAACAAGGUC
rnacentral:rRNA from 1 species